GUGACGUCGUCGAUACCGUCGGCAUCGGCAACUGUUGUGAGCGUUCACUCGAUUUGAAGCGUCCUUCUGGUCGCCCUCAAGGGAAGGUGAAAGUUGACGUCAGCGUUCGUGAGCCGCGCUAUCGUGCGCCGGAUCCGUAUUAUGCGCCUCCUUAUGGUGUUCCACCACAUGGAUCACGGGAUUACCCGGCUGCGCCGCCGCAACCUUACGGCGGAUCGUACGGUGCUCCUCUACCUGCUCCCUACGCUGCGCCGCCGUCGGGUUAUCCGUACAGUGCCGCUCCUGCUCCGGCGCCUUAUGGUCAACAACAACCGAGUUACGGUGCUCCUCCUGCGCCGUACUCUCAGGGAGGUAGUUACGGGCAGCCGGAUUACUCGCAGGGUAAUUACGGGCAGCAGCAGGGGAAUUACGGGCAGGGAAGCUACGGGCAGCAAGCAGGGUACAAGUACGAGGAGAAGAAGAAGGGCAAGUUUGG
rnacentral:lncRNA from 1 species